UUACAGAUUUUUCCUGUAUUUUGAAAAUUCCGUAAAAUUACAGAAAUUGAAUGCAAAUUUACAUAUAAAAUAAUACAUGUAAAAUAAUGUGAAAAACAUGUAACUGUUAAAUAACAAAAUUUCCGUUUUUUUAUUGAACUUCCCAUCACUACUCUGACUGUUCCGCUUGUCAAAGUAGUUCUACUGCGUUCAAUGUUUCUUUUCUUUACGAAUUUCUUCUCACAAUAUCAUCUUAUAAUAUCAUAUACUCAUACAUUCUUUGUUGAAAUAUGCGGACAUUUUAACAAUGAAGAAUUUAAAUAUUUGAACUGAAGGAAUUCCCGCCCGGCGCAUGGAUACAGUCUCUUCAAAGCACACGGUGAGUAGAGCAGCGGAGCUGCCUGGAAUCACUCGACCGUUAGUAUUGCAGCCGUAUGGAUGUGAACGAAAAUAAGCAGAUAAGUUGUAUGUUUCUGAUAUUAAAGGCGUGGUGAAAAGAUAAGUUGUGUGAGUUUCUGAUAUUAAAGGUGUGGUGAAAAGAUGCCUUUUCAAGAUAAACCCCAAGGGAUCGAAAGCUGAGAAGAGCACUUCAAGAAAGCAGAUGAUGGUCAGUCCACAGCAUGUGUGUCAAACUCUGCUUCUGGGGGGCCACUGUCCUGCAAAGUGCUCCAACCCGCUCCAGAACACUUACCUGGAAGGUUCUAGCAAUCCUGAAGACAUUGAUUAGCUGGUUCAUGUGUGUGUAAUUAGUUCCUGGAGGGCCACUGUCCUGCAGAGUUUUGCUCCAUCCCUGAGUUUGACACCAUUGUUCAAAAAGUUCUUUCACUUUGAACCAAAAUGGCAGACUAUGAAUAAAAGGCAUGCAUGGAGAACAUUCUUCAGAAGGGAGUCCAAUCUCCCUCCAUUCACUUGUACAGAAAUGUUCAUCAGUGUCACAUGGACUUUGAGAACACUCACUCUUUCCUGCUUUGUUUUUAAUGACUCCUUGUAAUUCAUCUGUCGACCAGUGGUCAGGUUUUGAACGCAGACGGUUUAAUUAUUAUUCGACUGUUUUCCUUUUUCUCUUUUUUUUUUUUCGUUUGUAACAAAUUGUUGUAUUGUUAUAUUAAGUUUACUGCUGCAAUUGUUUUAAAACCAUUACUAGUUUUAAAACUGUUUUUGGCUUUUUAUAAAAUAAAAAGGCAAAUUUAUAUAGGCAAUUUUAUUGAUUUUACACAAGUAAAUGUCUUUCAUGAAACGUUAAAAAGCUAAAGAAAAUACAGAAGAUUUUAUGAAAAAUUAUGGUUAUAUAAACUGUAUUUUAUUACCGGAAAAUUACAGAUUUAUUUUCCGUUAUUUUCCUGUAUAUUUCUGGCGCCCCUUU